AGGCAUUCAUUGCUAUGAACUUCCCUCUUAGAAUUGCAUUUGCGGCAUCCCAUAAGUUUUGGAAGAAAAAUUUCACUAGACGAUGUGCUGUAUGAUGUCUUCAAGAAUUCUUUCUUGGCUGUCAGCUCUGAAACCCGUGAAUCCCCCAUCACCCCGAAACCUCAUCAUCUGUGCUAUGGUCAACACCAUCUGCUGCACCUGGAUUAACACUUUUGGAGAAGUUGGAAGUUCAAUUAUAUAAGAUCACUGAGCAAGCAACUUGGCUUAAAAAGGGCAGGCUUGACCCAAAACUGGAAGGAUGUGGAGUGGGAAGGACCCAUCAUCUGCUUUACUUCUCUCUCCUCACCUUUCUG